rnacentral:lncRNA from 1 species
GGUGAUCUACUUUAUCCAUGCUUCCGCCAUAAGUGGUUUUGGCUCUCCCUUAAACUCCAGUGGUCCCAGCUCCUUGAACUGUUUAGCGGUGACCGCCCGAGAGUUUCCAGUGUUUCAACCUACGUUUUGGACAGGAGCCGCUCUCGCCUGCUGUUGCAUGAAUUGCAGAAAGACUCUGAACAUUUGAUCAUUCAUCAUUUGGUCAGUGUUGUUAUUUGCAUGAGGAUUGUCGUCUUCCUGAUGCACAUUAUCCUGGUUAUUGAUAUGUGGUGAAUCAACGGUCGCCUGUGCUCCAUUGCUAUUCUCAACAUUCUCAGAUGUCAUUUUCAGAUACUGCCACAAAACAAAAGGUUAAUUGACAUGUAACAAGUUAUCCCUAUAUUUUGAUCGACCAAUAAAAUAACACAUAAACUUAGGUAAGUCAUACUAGCGAAGGAAUUCCCCGUCUCUCCCCUCCUAGU